GUGGCGCUGCCUGCCGGGUCAAUACAAUGCUGGCCUCUCUCCAAAGCAAACACUAUCGGUUAUGUAUUAAUAAGGGAACUAUGGCGGAGCUCUCGGCAUUGUCCCACUUUGAAGCUCCAAUUGAAAUCAAUCGGAGCUUCAGUACACAACCCAGCCUAACUGACUGUGAAUCGAAGAGGUCAGCAGCACACAGAUUCUGAUGGUGGUGGCAGAACCUGCCUGGGUCAAUGGAAUACCGUGAUUUUAGGAGAAACAAGAAUCUGAUAAAAUGGGAUUUUAAUUUAUGCACACCUAUUCUUUCCUGAAAGUCAUCCAAACCUUUCCUACUACAAUAAAAAAGAAUAUUAGCGUCUCGUGAUGUACUGCUUCCCAUGGGGAUAGGGUUCGAGAAAGGAUGAAAUUAGAAGAAAAGCCUCCUGUGGUCAACCAUCUUGAACAUUGUAUUGUAUACUUUGUGGCAUGUGCAAUAUAUAUGAAUAUUUAUGAUAUAUUAGAAAAUGAGUAUAAGGAAAGAUAGGGGUAUCAUUAUAGUCUUGUGGGUAUUGAAUCACUUUUUGGUGUUUUUAGAGCAUAUUUUUUGUAUUUGAUAUGGAGUAUGAAGCACUAGUCACUUUAAUAAUGUUGCAAUGUUAAAAAAGUAGUUUGCUGUGAUAUGUAAACUACUCAAUUAAAAUGUCACAGUUUUUUUACACAACAGGAGAAUGAAUAGGUUAUUAGAAAUAUUGCAUUUAAUAUAGUCAGUAUGUAUUGUCAAUAUUGCAGAUUACACUGAUAUUGUAAAAGGUUUUGUCACUUGAUAUGGUCAUUUUUUAAUCUAGUGGGUAGAUGGAUUAAUUUCAUGCCGUCAGUAUUAUGACAAAGUGAAUAUCAAAAUUAGAAUAAGUAUAUAGAAAACGGAAUGGCAAAGAAAUGCAUCCAUCUGCACCAAUAAUCCCAAUUGUACGAAUAUUUGUGUUAUAAUACAUUGCACUGUCACUUUAAUUGUUAUAAUAGUAUAGGAUAUUGUUGUAUAUAAAAUAUAGAAUGGUGACUAAUAUGGUAAUAUAGCUAUUGGGCAGGAAGAUGUAGUUAGUAGAAAUAAGGGGUUAAUGAUACCUGCAAGUAUGUCCCUUUAUUAUGGCAUGGUGAUCACUAUAGGUGCGCGCAUCAGUGAUACAUAGCUAGAGCACCUGGGUCCCUGGUGACUAACAGCACUGUGUGCAUGUCAGACUGAGAGCAAGACGGACAUGCGCAGUAGUGCUAUGACGCUGAGAGACUGGGGCGUGAUAAUCUGACAUCUCAUGUGAUGCGCCCCGCAUCAUGUGAUCAACAUGACGCAGGUGGAAGUCACAGUGGCAUCCCGAAAGUUACUAGGGGAGAAUAGCAGUAUAAAAACGAGCUCUGGAUAAACAAAGGUUAUGCCCUCUUCGGAAGGAGCUGAAACAGCUGUAGGGGUAGCGAGGCGCCACUGUGCAGACCUAAUAUGGGUAAGACACUGUUAUAUGCAUGAUACUCUAAAUGUAUGGUAACACUAUGCAUGGGACUAUAAUCUGUUUUGCUGUUAAAGACUUAUAAGGUUGGGGAAAUCAAAUAGCUGUGAUAUACUGUAAACAUUCAGCCAUAGUACUAGCUAUAUCCUCCAGUUAUAGGUGACAGUAUUGGGAAGCAGAGUUCAGUUAAUGUGAUUUCCAUGUUCAUAAGAUUAUGGUAUGCAUAUUUGCCUAAUCGUGUCUGCACACUAUCGCCCCGCAAUUAGUGAAAAUUCCUGCCUGUAAUAUUGUAGUGUUGUUUUUGUAUUUGAAACAAUAAAAAUUUGUAUAUU